GACUGGCAAUAAAUUACCAGUCAAGAAAUAUGAACUAACAUAAUUUAUAUAGUUUAACAAAAAACGUUACAUUUUCAUUGUAAAAUCAAAUUAUCUUUUAUAA
rnacentral:tRNA from 1 species